ensembl:lncRNA
AUUGGACUGUAAAAGGUUCUCAGGAGAAGAACACAGUUUAUAGGUAUAAUCUGUUGGAGGAGACAUGGCCUCCAAAAUGAGUGUGUCUGGGGAGCAAGACACAGAGAAAGGCGAGAGAUCAGACUCACCUGAACCCAGUUGUGUGUCCAUGAGGAGUGACGGGUCAAUGAACCGUCUAAUAUACUUCAGAGACAGAGACAGUACUACUGAUCUGAGGCUGCAAAAGGAUUCAGAUACCACACACAGCAACCUACUGGAGUCUAUAUUUAAGGUUUGUGGGUAUAUUUGUGUGUGUUUUUAAUAUAAAACAUGUUACUUUAGUGGUGCAGUUUGAAACGGUCAGGCAGUGAAGAUGAGAAUUCAGCAAGAGCAGGUCCCAGAGUCUGUAACUAGCUGCUAUGUGUUGCUGAGUAAAUAAAUAAAUACAUGUAUCUCAUCUUCUGCC